AAAUAAUAUACUUUCUGGUAUUAUCCCAUCCACCAUUGGAAAACACCUAUUAUUGAUGCAGAUGUUUUAAUGUUGAUACGUUGGAGUACAAGAAAAUCAGCUUCACUAUUUGGGAUGUCGGGGGUCAGGACAAGAUCAGACUGUUAUGGAGGCACUAUUUCCAAAACACACAGGGACUCAUUUUUGUUGUUGACAGCAAUGACAGAGACCGUGUAGUUAAGGCAGGGGAUGAACUCCCAGGAUGCUGAAUGAGUUAAAUUUUCUUCAAAAAAGAAGGUAUUCAA